UACGGAGGGUGCAAGCGUUAUCCGGAUUCACUGGGUUUAAAGGGUGCGUAGGUGGGAAUGUAAGUCAGUGGUGAAAUCUCCGUGCUUAACAUGGAACUGCCAUUGAUACUAUGUUUCUUGAAUUUUUUUGGAGGUCAGCGGAAUAUGUCAUGUAGCGGUGAAAUGCUUAGAUAUGACAUAGAACACCAAUUGCGAAGGCAGCUGACUACAGGGAUAUUGACACUGAGGCACGAAAAGCGUGGGGAUCAAAACAGG
rnacentral:rRNA from 1 species